AUUGAACGCUGGCGGCAUGCCUUACACAUGCAAGUCGAACGGCAGCGGGCCUUCGGGUGCCGGCGAGUGACGAACGGGUGAGUAAUGCAUCGGAACGUGCCAUUGAGUGGGGGGAUAACGUAGCGAAAGUUGCGCUAAUACCGCAUAUUCUGUGAGCAGGAAAGCAGGGGACCGCAAGGCCUUGCGCUCUUUGAGCGGCCGAUGUCAGAUUAGCUAGUUGGUGAGGUAAAGGCUUACCAAGGCGACGAUCUGUAGCGGGUCUGAGAGGAUGAUCCGCCACACUGGAACUGAGACACGGUCCAGACUCCUACGGGAGGCAGCAGUGGGAAUUUUGGACAAUGGGGGCAACCCUGAUCCAGCCAUGCCGCGUGAGUGAAGAAGGCC
rnacentral:rRNA from 1 species